rnacentral:lncRNA from 1 species
CAAAAAAACGAUUUUUCUUGCUUUUAACAAUUAACCAAGCAUCAAUAACAGAAAACUACCCAUGGUUAUGAUACCACUGUUGGAUUUUAGUAUACUACAACAUCCUAUGGUGCCCAUACAACCCUAAAAGCUUUGGAUCUAUGUUUUCUCUAAUUAUACAUGCAAUAUUGUUUCCAAAGCUUGAAUCCUACAACUAACAUACAAUUGAUAUAAACAACAUACAAUUGAGUUAUAAAGUUACCUCUUUGUUCUAGCUUGUAGUUUUGGCCUUUAAGAACUUAGUGUUGGAUUAGUGUCUAAGUUCAUAACUAUUUUGGUAUGUACUUGACUCGAUGGUGCAUGGUCCUUUUGGGUUGCCUUCACCAAAGCAACUUGAUUGGAGAAAUAUAGAGAGAGAGAGGUCAUUAUGAUUUAUUAAUAUGUUAUAAGAAUAAUAUAUUAAAGGAGAAAUCAUAUUUGUUUAAUUAAUAUUGGUCAAUAAUUAAUUAGGAAUUAAUUUGGUGAUCAAGUGUAAUUAAUUAAACUAGAGGGGCUGAAUUGUAAUUAUGUGAUAGUUACAAAAUAAGGUAAGGAUUAUCUUAUAUAUAUGGUGAACGAAUUUGAGGUAUUAAUCCCUUAGAAUUCGACCAUGAUAAGGAUUCAAGGAUUAUCUUAUGGGUUGCUUUGUGGAUAAGCAACUAGAUAAGGAUAAUGACUGAAACCCUAUCUCUACACCUAUAUAAAGACCCCAAGGCUUAUGAAUUCGUGUAUCCCUUCCCAAGAGGUCCUAGAGACGAAUUCUAACCUCUCUCCUCUCUCUUUAUACCUUCUNAAAGGCUUAUGAAUUCGUGUAUCCCUUCCCAAGAGGUCCUAGAGACGAAUUCU